rnacentral:rRNA from 1 species
AGCCACUGCUAUCGGAGUCCGGCUAAGCCAUGCGAGUCUUGGUAGGCUUUGCCUACCGGCGGACGGCUCAGUAACACGUGGACAACCUGCCCUCGGGAGGGGGAUAACCCCGGGAAACUGGGAAUAAACCCCCAUAGGUCAUGGAGGCUGGAAGGCGCCAUGACCGAAAUUCCGAAAGGAGCCCGAGGAUGGGUCUGCGGCCUAUCAGGUCGUAGUGGGGGUAACGGCCCCACUAGCCUACGACGGGUACGGGCCCUGAGAGGGGGAGCCCGGAGAUGGACUCUGAGACACGAGUCCAGGCCCUACGGGGCGCAGCAGGCGCGAAAACUCCGCAAUGCUCGAAAGAGCGACGGGGGGACUCCGAGUGCCUACGCUUUGCGUAGGCUUUUCCCGAGCCUAAAAAGCUCGGGGAAUAAGGGCUGGGUAAGACGGGUGCCAGCCGCCGCGGUAAUACCCGCAGCUCGAGUGGUGGCCGCUUUUAUUGGGCCUAAAGCGUCCGUAGCCGGUCUGGUAAAUGCCUGGGUAAAUCGUCUGGCUUAACCAGACGGCUCCCAGGUAGACUGCCAGACUUGGGACCGGAGGAGGGAGAGGGUACUCCAGGGGUAGGGGUGAAAUCAGCAGAGCAUCACUCUGAUGAUGUGAAUUGCUCUGCAAGUCACAAUCCUGUAAUCCCUGGAGGACCACCGGUGGCGAAGGCGCUCUCCUAGGACGGGUCCGACGGUGAGGGACGAAAGCCAGGGGAGCAAACCGGAUUAGAUACCCGGGUAGUCCUGGCCGUAAACGAUGUGGACUGGGUAUUGGGAUGGCUACGAGCGGUCCCAGUGUCGUAGGGAAGCCGUUAAGUCCACCGCCUGGGGAGUACGGUCGCAAGGCUGAAACUUAAAGGAAUUGGCGGGGGAGCACCGCAACGGGAGGAGCGUGCGGUUU